UGUUGAAUCAGGAUGGGAUUUCAGCACAAGAUGGAUGAGCUCAAGCAUUCAUCCAUUGUUGCUAAUACAUGGUAGAAGAUGAUACAAAUUGAUUACAUGUUGUCUCUUCAUUGCCUUUCAUUUGGUUUCACCUUUGCUGAAUUUGAAAGUGGUGUCUAUAUUCUUUUUUCAUUAACCCUUUAUUCUGAAAGAAUUUCAGAGAUCUAUAUUGAAACCAAAAAGUAUUCAGAAGUCUUUGAACUUAGUAUGCAAUAAGGUAUACUACUAGCACAUAAAACAAAUUUUGAAUAAUUGUGUAUAAAAUUCUCAGUACUUCAACUGAGUUAUUUCACAUUGCCUGCAAUAUAAUCUUUAUGCAAUAGUUAUAGUAGAUUUGGAGUUAAGGAAGUUGAUAUCUUAUUACAAGUAUGCUUUUUUGGUAAUAUACUGCUUCCAUAUUAUAAUAAUAUUCAUAUUUG